rnacentral:rRNA from 1 species
UCUAACCUACGGGGGGCAGCAGUAGGGAAUUUUCGUCAAUGGGCGCAAGCCUGAACGAGCAAUGCCGCGUGAACGAGGAAGGUCUUCGGAUCGUAAAGUUCUGUUGAAGGGGAAAAAGAGCGGAGAGAGGAAAUGAACUCCGAUUGAUAUUACCCUUCGAGGAAGUCACGGCUAACUACGUGCCAGCAGCCGCGGGAAUACGUAGGUGGCGAGCGUUAUCCGGAAUGAUUGGGCGUAAAGGGUGCGUAGGCGGCCUGCUAAGUCU